rnacentral:rRNA from 1 species
UACGGGGGGGGCAAGCGUUGUUCGGAAUUACUGGGCGUAAAGGGCUCGUAGGCGGCCAACUAAGUCAGACGUGAAAUCCCUCGGCUUAACCGGGGAACUGCGUCUGAUACUGGAUGGCUUGAGUUUGGGAGAGGGAUGCGGAAUUCCAGGUGUAGCGGUGAAAUGCGCAGAUAUCAGGAGGAACACCGGUGGCGAAGGCGGAUCUCUGGGCCAUUACUGACGCUGAGGAGCGAAAGCCAGGGGGAGCAAACGGG